ensembl:misc_RNA Metazoa_SRP Metazoan signal recognition particle RNA
GCUGGGUGUGGUGGCGCACGCCUGUAAUCCCAGCUACUAGGGAGGCUGAGGCAGGAGAAUCACUUGAACCCGGGAGGUGGAGGUUGCAGUGAGUUGAGAUGGCACCACUGCACUCCAGCCUGGGUGAAAAGAGUGAAACUCUGUCUCAA